AGAAUCAAGCUACAAAUUUAAAGUUUAACUCAGGCCUACUCGGUUACACCCUAAAAAAUAUCAGUAUAACAUAUAAAGCUUACUUUCAAGCACAAAAUUAAAAGAGUGAAUUAAAAAAGCCUAGAAAUAAAUUCUUGGAUAACAAAAUAAAAAUAGCGUUUACGAGGUUGAAUUCGCAUGAACAAAAUUCACAAAAGCAUAGUCCUUAACAAAAGGACACAAAUUUAAAGCAUGCCCCAUUCAUGC
rnacentral:lncRNA from 1 species